ACUGCCUGCCCAGUGACAACCGUUAAACGGCCGCGGUAUCCUGACCGUGCAAAGGUAGCAUAAUCACUUGUUCUCUAAAUAAGGACUUGUAUGAAUGGCCACACGAGGGUUUUACUGUCUCUUACUUCCAAUCAGUGAAAUUGACCUUCCCGUGAAGAGGCGGGAAUAUAUUAAUAAGACGAGAAGACCCUAUGGAGCUUUAACUACUUAGUCCAAAGAAAUAAAUUUUACUACCAAGGAAACAACAACACUCUUUAUGGACUAACAGCUUUGGUUGGGGUGACCUCGGAGAAUAAAAAAUCCUCCGAGCGAUUUUAAAGACUAGACCUACAAGUCAAAUCACACAAUCGCUUAUUGAUCCAAAAAAUUGAUCAACGGAACAAGUUACCCUAGGGAUAACAGCGCAAUCCUAUUCAAGAGUCCAUAUCGACAAUAGGGUUUACGACCUCGAUGUUGGAUCAGGACAUCCCGAUGGUGCAACCGCUAUCAAAGGUU
rnacentral:rRNA from 1 species